AUGCAGGGGAGGUCGUCGUGCACGAGCGACAUGGUGUGCACCAUCUCGACCGCGGCGGCGGGGGCCAUCGCCCAGGCCUCGCGGCCGCCGGACACGACGCAGGCGGCCAGGCAGAGGGCCGGGCGCACGCGCUUGCCCCCGGCCAGCAGCGCGUAG
rnacentral:rRNA from 1 species